CACAUUAACCCUUUGGACCUACAAACACACGAAAAUAGCUUAAAAUACUAAAAUAACUACAAACUAAUAACAUAAAUGCCAAGAAACAAGCUAACUAAGUCGCAUAAAUAUGCUCCUAUCAAAUUCCCCCACACUUAGCUUUUGCUAGUCCUCGAGCAAAACAAAACAAAACCUAGACCUUCCAACAAUUGCCUCAGGGAUUUUUAAUGAAACAUGACAUGUUAAAAAUCAUCAUUCCCACAGAUUUUGGUCAUCCUUACACUUGAGCACAUACUUAUAGUCACCACUUACUAGUUCACAAUUAACCAAUUAAAACGAUGAAUUGAAUGUAGUAACAUGCCUUGGAGAAUUUACUCAAUUCCUUACAAGAUACUCUCUA
rnacentral:lncRNA from 1 species